rnacentral:rRNA from 1 species
AGAUUUCGGUCAAGCCCCGGACUGUUUUAGUGGCGGACGGGUGAGUAACGCGUGGGCAACCUGCCCCGUACCGGGGGAUAACACCUGGAAACAGGUGCUAAUACCGCAUAAUAAGAGGUUCCGCAUGGGGCCUCCUUGAAAACUCCGGUGGUACGGGAUGGACCCGCGUCCGAUUAGCUGGUUGGCGGGGUAACGGCCCACCAAGGCGACGAUCAGUAGCCGGCCUGAGAGGGUGGACGGCCACAUUGGGACUGAGACACGGCCCAGACUCCUACGGGAGGCAGCAG